rnacentral:lncRNA from 1 species
CAGAUCUGGAAGCAACUUUUAGAUCUGGAGGAGACAUUUUUGGUUUUUCAGCUAUUACACUAUUGCACGGGAACCACUUCUGAGUGUUCCACCAGUAGACUAGCCAAGGUGCAUAAUGUGCAACUCGAAGCGCCCAUUGGUCCUGUGGGAGCUGUAGACUGUAUCCUUCUGUCGAUAAAUUAGCAGGAAAUCCAGGCCACCAGUAAUUGACAACCGGAGCAACUAGAGCUACUCCU